rnacentral:rRNA from 1 species
GAUGAACGCUGGCGGCGUGCCUAAUACAUGCAAGUCGAGCGAACAGACGAGGAGCUUGCUCCUCUGACGUUAGCGGCGGACGGGUGAGUAACACGUGGAUAACCUACCUAUAAGACUGGGAUAACUUCGGGAAACCGGAGCUAAUACCGGAUAAUAUAUUGAACCGCAUGGUUCAAUAGUGAAAGACGGUUUUGCUGUCACUUAUAGAUGGAUCCGCGCCGCAUUAGCUAGUUGGUAAGGUAACGGCUUACCAAGGCAACGAUGCGUAGCCGGCCUGAGAGGGUGAUCGGCCACACUGGAACUGAGACACGGUCCAGACUCCUACGGGAGGCAGCAGUAGGGAAUCUUCCGCAAUGGGCGAAAGCCUGACGGAGCAACGCCGCGUGAGUGAUGAAGGUCUUCGGAUCGUAAAACUCUGUUAUUAGGGAAGAAAAAAUGUGUAAGUAACUAUGCACGUCUUGACGGUACCUAAUCAGAAAGCCACGGCUAACUACGUG